AUUGAACGCUGGCGGCAGGCUUAACACAUGCAAGUCGAGCGGGGGAAGGUAGCUUGCUACCGGACCUAGCGGCGGACGGGUGAGUAAUGCUUAGGAAUCUGCCUAUUAGUGGGGGACAACAUCUCGAAAGGGAUGCUAAUACCGCAUACGUCCUACGGGAGAAAGCAGGGGAUCUUCGGACCUUGCGCUAAUAGAUGAGCCUAAGUCGGAUUAGCUAGUUGGUGGGGUAAAGGCCUACCAAGGCGACGAUCUGUAGCGGGUCUGAGAGGAUGGUCCGCCGCACUGGGACUGGAACACGGCCCAGACUCCUACGGGAGGCAGCAGUGGGGAAUAUUGGACAAUGGGGGGAACCCUGAUCCAGCCAUGCCGCGUGUGUGAAGAAGGCCUUAUGGUUGUAAAGCACUUUAAGCGAGGAGGAGGCUACUCUAGUUAAUACCUAGGGAUAGUGGACGUUACUCGCAGAAUAAGCACCGGCUAACUCUGUGCCAGCCGCCGCCGUAA
rnacentral:rRNA from 1 species